AUCCUAAAAAUGCUGGGUGCAUUUAAAAAAAAUCCCUGAGAAAUGCUGAAGUUAUAUAUUUAUAAGAAUAAGAUCUUUUAUUCACUGAAGAUAUUACAGGAAAAUAUUUCACAAAACAAGUUUUUGGGAAACAGAUUGGUGAAUUCAGCUAGUUAAGACAAAUAGAUUCUUCAGCAGUUUGGCCUUCACUGAGUUAGCUGUGCCACACAUUGACCAUUCCUUGGAAGUUUUCUUGGAUGCAUCUUUAUCAGCUGCAGCAGCCAUAGGGGAGUCCCUGGAGGCAUGGGCAGAAAAUUUGAAUGGCCCUUCGUGAUGAAAGGAAGGCAGUCACCUGAAAAGGUAUGAGGAAGAGUUUGUUUCUCUGAUCAAACCUUCAGAGUUUCCACAGCAGAGCAGAAAUAUAACUUCUGAUUGCAGCCAUCCUUAGGACCCUGCAUCAACCCGGGAGCAAAUUACUGAGUUAUUUCUUUUUCCGUGCCUGAUUUUAUUAAACAUUUAUUUACUUAGAGAAAAAUCAUCAUAUUCCUUAUAAGAGUGAAAUAAUUAUCAAUAUUUUGAAUCUAUGUUUAGAAAUAAAUAUUUUAAUUUGUAUUUUAAAUCAACCCCUAUAGGGCAGGAAUUUAUGUAGCAUCUUCUGCAUCUGC
rnacentral:lncRNA from 1 species